CACGUAGGCACCAAGCGUUGUCCGGAUUUAUUGGGCGUAAAGAGCUCGUAGGCGGUUCAGUAAGUCGGGUGUGAAAACUCUGGCUUAACCCAGAGACGCCACCCGAUACUGCUGUGACUUGAGUACGGUAGGGGAGCAGGGAAUUCCUGGUGUAGCGGUGAAAUGCGUAGAUAUCAGGAGGAACACCGGUGGUGUAGACGGCUCUCUGGGACCGUAACUGACGCUGAGACACGAAAGCCUAGGGGAGCAAACAGG
rnacentral:rRNA from 1 species